rnacentral:lncRNA from 1 species
CUGCAUCACCCAAGACGAAAAUGUUUUCUGCCUGCAGGACUUCCCAUGCCAACUGCAACGCAAAACUGAACACAACGAAGAACGAGCACGAUGGCGCAGCCGUCCGCUGUGAGCGUGCGCGUACUGCCGAAAAGGAGACACAUUUGCCGCUUCCAAUGUCCAGUAGCCGCGCCUGUGAUGACGCAGUCCCCAGCACAAGCCGCGCGGGCAUGGAGGCAGCGGCGUUCGCUGGAAACAACGUGAGGGAUGCUACUGGCUCCACACAUAGGGGAAAACGCGAAGAUAUCAGCGGCGUCUACAAUGACGUCAACCACGGCACGAAAACAUCAGGGGAACGAAGCCACAAGUGCGAAGUAUGUGGCAAUUCAUUUAAAAGAAAGCGUACUCUCGCGAGACAUUGCCUCGCGCAUACAGGCGACAAGCCCUAUCAGUGCAACAUAUGUGAUCAAUCAUUUUCACGAAAGGAUUAUCUCCAUGUACAUCGCCGCACUCACACAGGCGAGAAGCCCUAUCAUUGCGACUUAUGUGAUAAAUCAUUCUCAGUAAAGUCUAAUCUCGAUGUACAUCGCCGCACGCACACAGGCGCGAAGCCCUUCAAUUGCACGUCAUGCACGAAGUCCUUCACACAGCUAGGACACCUUCGUGUACAUGAACGCACUCAUACGGGUGAGAGGACUUAUAAAUGCGAGACGUGUGAGUAUUCAUCAACCACAUCG